GCUAAAUAAGAGCGUAUGGGGAAUGCCUAGGCUCUCAGAGGCGAUGAAGGACGUGAUAAGCUGCGAAAAGCUGCGGGGAUUGGCACAUACAAAUUGAUCCGCAGAUAUCCGAAUGGGGCAACCCGGCAUGUUGAAGACAUGUCACCUAGCAAUAGGGGUAAACCCGGUGAACUGAAACAUCUAAGUAACCGGAGGAAGAGAAAACAAUAGUGAUUCCGUUAGUAGUGGCGAGCGAACGCGGACCAGGCCAGU
rnacentral:rRNA from 1 species